CGUGUAGGCGGUCAGGUAAGUGGGACGUGAAAUGCCUCGGCUCACCCGAGGAGCUGCGCCCCAAACUGCUUGGCUUGAGUAUGGGAGAGGAUGUGGGAAUUCCUGGUGUAGCGGUGAAAUGCGUAGAUAUCAGGAGGAACACCGGUGACGAAGGCGCACAUCUGGCCCAAUACUGACGCUGAGGCGCGAAAGCUAGGGGAGCAAACG
rnacentral:rRNA from 1 species